AAAUCAACACAAAUCAUGUUCCCGACAUCUUUACUGCUGCUUUUGGCAGCAAUGACCUGUGCGGAGUGUAACAUUGUCCUGACGCAGACAAACUCUAUAGUUCUGCAGCCGGGACACUCACUUACUCUCACAUGUGAGGUGUCUGGAUACUCUGUUACUGAUAAUAGCUAUGCAACAGCCUGGAUACGACAUCCUGCAGGAAAAGCUCUGGAGUGGAUCGUGCACAUAUGGGGAGGUGGAAACAUAUACAAAAAAGACUCACUGUCAAACAGGUUCAGCAUCUCCAAAAGUGACUCCAGCAACACAGUGACUCUUAAAGGACAAAAUCUACAGACUGAAGACACAGCUGUGUAUUACUGCGCCUAUUACGGGAGUAGCUACGGUGUCUUUGACUACUGGGGAAAGGGAACAACGGUGACUGUAACAUCAGCUGAAGAAUCUGCGCCAAAGUCAAUCUUCAGUAUGUCUCAGUGCUCUACUAAUGCUGGUGAGUUCGUGACCGUCGGCUGCUUGGCAAGAGGUUUCUCUCCUGCGGACUCACUUACUAUCACAUGGACGGAUUAUGCCUCAAAAGAAUUGAGUGAUGUCGUGCAGUAUCCAGCAUUCGGGAGGGAUGGAGACUAUACCAAAAUCAGCCAUAUGCGCGUGAAAAAAAGCGAUUUGGAUCCUCAAAAACCAUACAAAUGCGAAGCUUCAAAUUCUAAAGGCAAAAAAGAUACUGCUGUUCCUCUACUUCCACCACCCCCACCGCCAGAUGUGCGUGCAACUGUGUACUUAACAGUACCUACAAAAAUGGAGUUAGACAAUGAAACAGCAACCUUCAUGUGUUUAGCCCAACGGUUUUCGCCUAAAACAUACAAGUUUAAGUGGUCUCUGGAUGGUAAUGAGGUGACAAAUGUGAUAGACAAUUGUGACAAAAGUGAGAAGAAAGGCUCAGUAACCGAAUAUAGCGCCACGAGCAUUUUGCAAAUCAGUGCCGAUGCCUGGAAGAAGCCAACCAGCAAAAUUAAGUGUGAGUUCGUGCACAAGGCGGGAAAUGAAGAAAAAGAGGCCGACUAUUCAGUUCCUUUUCCAGAUUGCAGCGAUAUUACUGUUGAUAUAGUGCCUCCCUCCCUUGAAGCCAUGCUGAAAAAUAGAACAGGAGUGCUGAAGUGCAAGGCUACAGCAGAAAAUUCGGGAUUCACCAAAAUAACAAUAGAGGCGAAUAAUAAAGUCAUCGCUGAGACAGAAGUAAAUGGCAACAACAGAUAUGUGGAACUUGACGCCCCAAUAGGCUAUGAAGAAUGGAGCAACGGCACUGAAUUUACAUGCACCGCUGAACACAAAGAGCUAGCAGGGCCCAAGUCGACUACGUUCGUCAGAGAAAAUGGUAAAAAACCUGAGAAACACAAGAAACCCACUGUUUUCAUAUUAGCACCCCCAGAGCAAAAAUCGGGUGAACCGAUGACCCUGACAUGUUAUGUGAAGGACUUCUACCCCAAAGAGGUGUUUGUGUCUUGGCUUUCUGAUGAUGAACCUGUGACUUCUAAAUACAGCACUACCCUCCCAAUUCAGAAUGAUAAAAUCUUCUCCGUCUACAGUCAGCUAACAGUUAAUGAUUCCAAGUGGAAGAAUGGUACAAUGUUCAGUUGUGUCGUGUACCACGAAGCCAUUGAUGAAAACAUGCGCGUACUGACAAGAUCUAUUAAUGAUAAUACUGAAAAGGAAGGUGUAAUUAAUCUAAGUAUGAAUACCUCUCCAUGUUGCAAGGCCUAGAGCAUUGUGUAUGUGGUGUCUUCCUGUUAUGCCUGUUAAGUGUUCAUCUUGUUGUCUUUUUUUUUUCUUUUGGUUUUUGGGUUGCAUGUCCGUUUUGUAAUUGUGUUGGUCUUUAAUGUUUGUGGCUUCUUGCUUCUUUGAGAUACAUUCUUGCAUAUUACAUUUAGGAAAAUACUAAUAAAAAAAAGAAACAAAGCAUAA